AUUGGACGCUGGCGGCAUGCUUUACACAUGCAAGUCGAACGGUAACAGGUUAAGCUGACGAGUGGCGAACGGGUGAGUAAUGCAUCGGAACGUGCCCGGUCGUGGGGGAUAACGCAGCGAAAGCUGCGCUAAUACCGCAUACGAUCUGAGGAUGAAAGCGGGGGACCGUAAGGCCUCGCGCGAUCGGAGCGGCCGAUGUCAGAUUAGGCAGUUGGUGGGGUAAAGGCUCACCAAGCCAACGAUCUGUAGCUGGUCUGAGAGGACGACCAGCCACACUGGGACUGAGACACGGCCCAGACUCCUACGGGAGGCAGCAGUGGGGAAUUUUGGACAAUGGGCGAAAGCCUGAUCCAGCAAUGCCGCGUGCAGGAAGAAGGCCUUCGGGUUGUAAACUGCUUUUGUACGGAGCGAAAAGGUCUCCUCUAAUACAGGGGGCUCAUGACGGUACCGUAAGAAUAAGCACCGGCUAACUACGUGCCAGCCGCCGCAGUAA
rnacentral:rRNA from 1 species